CAGUCGAACGAAGCACUCUAUUUGAUUUUCUUCGGAAAUGAAGAUUUUGUGACUGAGUGGCGGACGGGUGAGUAACGCGUGGGUAACCUGCCUCAUACAGGGGGAUAACAGUUGGAAACGACUGCUAAUACCGCAUAAGCGCACAGGAUCGCAUGAUCCGGUGUGAAAAACUCCGGUGGUAUGAGAUGGACCCGCGUCUGAUUAGCCAGUUGGCAGGGUAACGGCCUACCAAAGCGACGAUCAGUAGCCGACCUGAGAGGGUGACCGGCCACAUUGGGACUGAGACACGGCCCAAACUCCUACGGGAGGCAGCAGUGGGGAAUAUUGCACAAUGGGGGAAACCCUGAUGCAGCGACGCCGCGUGAGCGAAGAAGUAUUUCGGUAUGUAAAGCUCUAUCAGCAGGGAAGAAGAAUGACGGUACCUGACUAAGAAGCACCGGCUAAAUACGUGCCAGCAGCCGCGGUAACACGUAUGGUGCAAGCGUUAUCCGGAUUUACUGGGUGUAAAGGGAGCGCAGGCGGUGCGGCAAGUCUGAUGUGAAAGCCCGGGGCUCAACCCCGGUACUGCAUUGGAAACUGUCGUACUAGAGUGUCGGAGGGGUAAGUGGAAUUCCUAGUGUAGCGGUGAAAUGCGUAGAUAUUAGGAGGAACACCAGUGGCGAAGGCGGCUUACUGGACGAUAACUGACGCUGAGGCUCGAAAGCGUGGGGAGCAAACAGGAUUAG
rnacentral:rRNA from 1 species